GAAAGUGGCGCACGGGUGCGUAACGCGUAGGCAACCUGCCCUUGAGUGGGGGAUAACUUCGAGAAAUCGGAGCUAAUACCGCAUAACAUCUUACUACCGCAUGGCGGUAAGAUCAAAACUCUGGUGCUCAAGGAUGGGCCUGCGUUAGAUUAGCUAGUAGGUGAGGUAACGGCUCACCUAGGCAACGAUCUAUAGCUGGUCUGAGAGGAUGAUCAGCCACA
rnacentral:rRNA from 1 species